rnacentral:rRNA from 1 species
UACAGAGGUCCCAAGCGUUGUUCGGAUUCACUGGGCGUAAAGGGUGCGUAGGUGGCGGGGUAAGUUUGAUGUGAAAUCUCCGGGCUUAACCCGGAAAUGGCAUUGAAUACUAUUCUGCUGGAGGUUUGGAGGGGGGACUGGAAUUCCCGGUGUAGUGGUGGAAUGCGUAGAUAUCGGGAGGAACACCGGUGGCGAAGGCGGGUCUCUGGGCAACAACUGACGCUGAGGAGCGAAAGCGUGGGGAGCGAACAGG